AAUAGAUACCCGGGUAGUCCUAGCCGUAAACGAUACUCGCUAGGUGUCGGCCACGGUGCGACCGUUGUCGGUGCCGUAGGGAAGCCGUGAAGCGAGCCACCUGGGAAGUACGGCCGCAAGGCUGAAACUUAAAGGAAUUGGCGGGGGAGCACCACAACGGGUGGAGCUUGCGGUUUAAUUGGAUUCAACGCCGGAAAUCUUACCGGGACCGACAGCAACAUGAAGGCCAGGCUGAAGACUUUGCCGGAUUAGCUGAGAGGUGGUGCAUGGCCGUCGUCAGUUCGUACUGUGAAGCAUCCUGUUAAGUCAGGCAACGAGCGAGACCCACGCCCACAGUUGCCAGCGUACUCUCUGGAGUGACGGGUACACUGUGGGGACCGCCGCUGCUAAAGCGGAGGAAGGAAUGGGCAACGGUAGGUCAGUAUGCCCCGAAUAUCCCGGGCUACACGCGAGCUACAAUGGUUGGUACAAUGGGUAUCUACCCCGAAAGGGGAUGGAAAUCUCCUAAAGCCAAUCUUAGUUCGGAUUGAGGGCUGCAACUCGCCCUCA
rnacentral:rRNA from 1 species